UGGGGAAUAUUGGACAAUGGGCGCAAGCCUGAUCCAGCCAUGCCGCGUGAGUGAUGAAGGCCCUAGGGUUGUAAAGCUCUUUCACCGGUGAAGAUAAUGACGGUAACCGGAGAAGACGCUCCGGCUAACUUCGUGCCAGCAGCCGCUGUAAUACGAAGGGGGCUAGCGUUGUUCGGAUUUACUGGGCGUAAAGCGCACGUAGGCGGACUUUUAAGUAAGGGGUGAAAUCCCGGGGCUCAACCCCGGAACUGCCUUUGAUACUGGAAGUCUUGAAUAUGGUAGAGGUGAGUGGAAUUCCGAGUGUAGAGGUGAAAUUCGUAGUUAUUCGGAGGAACACCAGUGGCGAAGGCGGCUCACUGGACCAUAACUGACGCUGAGGUGCGAAAGCGUGGGGAGCAAACAGG
rnacentral:rRNA from 1 species